UUCUUGUUUGUUUUUCUCAGGCUUUACUUCCUUUCUUCCUUUUUCCAGCUAGUUAGUAUUAGUGUGUGUGAAUGCUACCUUCAUUACUCCAUAAAUGGCCACAUGGAUAUAUAUACUCUGAAUGGUUUUAUUUCCCAGGAGUAAUAAACCUUAUUUGCUUUAUUCUUUCAACCACCAAUCUUACCAGACUACUCCUUUCUGCACAUUCCAUAGGCAGCAAAAUACCUUGGCCCAGUCAGGAAGGAGGAUAUCAAAACAUUCUUUGCCCAUCUUUAGGGUUAUAUCUGAUGUUGAAAUGAAUAAUCAUGACUAACUUAGGCCCAUUCAUUGCAGUGGGUGUACUCUGAGUAGGGCUUGGUUGGAUGCCACCCUCACAGCUGAAAAAAAAGGAAGAAUCCCACAGUAUGAUGACAAGCCCUACGGCACCCAUUGCUAUCUUCAGCGCUUUGGACCAAGAGGAAGAAACAACUGGAGCAAUAAAAG